AACGCACAUUGCGCCCUGUGGUAUUCCGCAGGGCAUGCCUGUUCGAGCGUCAUUUCAACCCUCAAGCUCUGCUUGGUGUUGGGCCCUGCCCGCUGCGGCCGGCCCUAAAGACAGUGGCGGUGCCGCCUGGCCCUGAGCGUAGUACAUCUCUCGCUCCAGUGCCCGGUGGUAGCCUGCCAGAACCCCAACUCUCGUGGUUGACCUCGGAUCAGGUAGGGAUACCCGCUGAACUUAA
rnacentral:misc_RNA from 2 species